rnacentral:sRNA from 1 species
CAUCCAAGAAGACAGUGCAGCCACCUCUGAGAGCCUGGAUGUGAUGGCGUCACAGAAGAGACCCUCCCAGAGGCACGGAUCCAAGUACCUGGCCACAGCAAGUACCAUGGACCAUGCCAGGCAUGGCUUCCUCCCAAGGCACAGAGACACGGGCAUCCUUGACUCCAUUGGGCGCUUCUUUGGCGGUGACAGGGGUGCGCCCAAGCGGGGCUCUGGCAAGGACUCACACCAUGCAGCAAGAACUGCUCACUACGGCUCCCUGCCCCAGAAGUCACACGGCCGGACCCAAGAUGAAAACCCCGUAGUCCACUUCUUCAAGAACAUUGUGACACCUCGCACACCACCCCCGUCGCAGGGAAAGGGGAGAGGACUGUCCCUGAGCAGAUUUAGCUGGAGCCGCAGGACUCUCUCCUUGUCUGGAGUUCCAGAGAGCCCCACUUUCUCUUUCUAAACUGUGUUGUGUGUUUCCUGCGUGAAGGGGGCCGAAGGCCAGAGACCAGGAUUUGGCUACGGAGGCAGAGCGUCCGACUAUAAAUCGGCUCACAAGGGAUUCAAGGGAGUCGAUGCCC